rnacentral:lncRNA from 1 species
UUAAAUUUUUUUAUAAAGUUAAUUUAUUUUCAAUCAAAUUUUCUGUUUAACAAAUUUUAUAUUUUGUCUUAUACGUACAAACAAAUAUUUAUCAUAUUUUUCAUAUUCACACAUACUUAUAUAUGACAACACAUCAUAAUUGAAAAACAAUUGCGUUAGCUUUAUAAAAUGUAAUAAGAUGAUAAGAAAAAUUGAGUUGUAUCAAGAAAAUUAAAGAAAAUACUUAAG